rnacentral:rRNA from 1 species
CCUACGGGUGGCAGCAGUCGAGAAUCAUUCACAAUGGGGGAAACCCUGAUGGUGCGACGCCGCGUGGGGGAAUGAAGGUCUUCGGAUUGUAAACCCCUGUCAUGUGGGAGCAAAUUAAAAAGAUAGUACCACACGAGGAAGAGACGGCUAACUCUGUGCCAGCAGCCGCGGUAAUACAGAGGUCUCAAGCGUUGUUCGGAAUCACUGGGCGUAAAGCGUGCGUAGGCUGUUUCGUAAGUCGUGUGUGAAAGGCGCGGGCUCAACCCGCGGACGGCACAUGAUACUGCGAGACUAGAGUAAUGGAGGGGGAACCGGAAUUCUCGGUGUAGCAGUGAAAUGCGUAGAUAUCGAGAGGAACACUCGUGGCGAAGGCGGGUUCCUGGACAGUAACUGACGCUGAGGCACGAAGGCCAGGGGGGCGAAAGGGAUUAGAUACCCGAGUAGUC